rnacentral:antisense_RNA from 1 species
UGUGGGAGCUGGCUUGCCAGCGAUAGCGUCCGUUCAGUCAGCAUUUAUGUUGAUGCGAAUGGCCCUAUCGCUGGCAAGCCAGCUCCCACA